AAGCGCUUGCAACCAGACUUGCGGGCUGUCGAUCAUCCGAGGUUCUCCCCGGUGCACUCGACUGUUCUCAGGCCAGCAUCGGUUCUGGUGGUGGGAUAAAGGCUGUGGGAAUGUGGCUCUUCGGAGUGUUAUAGCCCACGGUGCAAUGCCGCCUACCGGGACCGAGGACCGCGCUUCGGCUAGGAUGCUGGCGUAAUGGUUGUAAGCGA
rnacentral:rRNA from 1 species